rnacentral:rRNA from 1 species
AUGGCCAUGAACGCCGACGUGCGAGCAGCGUCCACGGCCAAGAGGAAGGUGGAUCCGAGGAGCGAGGAUUGGACGAGGACGGCGAUGAGGAGCCACGACCCGAGCAGCCCGCCGGCCGCCGGCGUGUCUCGCCGCCGAGAGCAACAAACCAUAGCUAUACUACCUCUCUCUCGGUUCAAUUACUGCGGAGGUGCAGAUUACACGGCUGGUGCAGGGCUCGCGACCUCUCGGCGGCAGUUGAAGAAGCUUUGGGAGGGCAGGCUGUGGCGAGGAGUUCGGGCACACAUGAACAGGGAGGAGGGACUGGGAGAGCGUCGGGAGGAUGAGGCGUCUUCGCUGGCUAGUAGCUUGGACUGGAGAGUUGAUUUGAGGACUUAG